GAUCACGUAUAAAUCCAUGCAUGC
rnacentral:siRNA from 1 species